rnacentral:rRNA from 1 species
CCAAUAGCGUAUAUUAAAGUUGUUGCAGUUAAAAAGCUCGUAGUUGAAUUUCGGGAUUGGCGCAUCGGUCGUGCCUCACGGGGUAUGAACUGGUGCAGUCAAUUUCUCACCUUCUGGAGAACCGCGAUGUCCUUAAUUGGAUGCCGCGGGGAACCAGGACCUUUACUUUGAAAAAAUUAGAGUGUUUAAAGCAGGCAUUUUUGCUUGAAUACAUUAGCAUGGAAUAAUAAAAUAGGACGGCAUGGUUCUAUUUUGUUGGUUUCUAGGACAACCGUAAUGAUUAAUAGGGAUAGUUGGGGGCAUUAGUAUUCAAUUGUCAGAGGUGAAAUUCUUGGAUUUAUUGAAGACUAACUACUGCGAAAGCAUUUGCCAAGGAUGUUUUCAUUAAUCAAGAACGAAAGUUAGGGGAUCGAAGACGAUCAGAUACCGUCGUAGUCUUAACCAUAAACUAUGCCGACUAGGAAUCAGACGAUGUUAAUUUUUUAAUGACUCGUUUGGCACCUUACG